AUCAUUUGGCAGCAUAUAUACUAAAAUUAGAACAAUGCAGAGAAGACUAGCAGGGUCCUUGUGCAAGGAUGUCACACAAAUUUGCGAAAUGUUCCAUAUUUUU
ensembl:snRNA U6 U6 spliceosomal RNA